UCUGACCAGUUGACCCAACUCUGGAAAUACCUUUGUCCUCUUUGAAGGGAUACUUUGGGAUUUGGUAUUGAGGCCCUUUAUCUACGUCCCCAAACUCUUGGAUACCAUGUUUAUGUUUCUGCUUGCAGUUUGAAGGAAGUUGCUGACUGGCGGCAGCACAAUUGACUUGCCUAGUGGAAUAAAGGUUCAAUAAAACAUCUAAAAAUAAUAAUAAUUGCUAACUAGCGUAGCGCUAACGCUAGUUGGCAUUGGCUCACAAAACAACCUUUAACUUCUUUCACACUGGACACAGAGACAGAAAAAUGGGAUCCACAAGUUCAUCUGACUGGUGAAGUAGAUGAAAGACCUCGUUGCCAAAAUCCCAAAGUAUCCCUUUAAGCUUUUGUAAAAAACAAAACUUUAGAUAUUUUAUCCUGAUAAUGUCACUGUUGAUAAUGUCAGAUAUUACACAUCAAUAAAUGGUUUUAGUUCAGUUUAGUUAGGUGUGACUAAAGAGGUGUCAGACAGAAGGUGUGACUAAAGAGGUGUCAGGCAGAAGGUGUGACUAAAGAGGUGUCAGGCAGAAGGUGUGACUAAAGAGGUGUCAGGCAGAAGGUGUGACUAAAGAGAAGAGGUGUCAGGCAGAAGGUGUGACUAAAGAGAAGAGGUGUCAGGCAGAAGGUGUGACUAAAGAGAAGAGGUGUCAGGCAGAAGGUGUGACUAAAGAGAAGAGGUGUCAGGCAGAAGGUGUGACUAAAGAGGUGUCAGGCAGAAGGUGUGACUAAAGAGAAGAGGUGUCAGGCAGAAGGUGUGACUAAAGAGAAGAGGUGUCAGGCAGAAGGUGUGGCUAAAGAGAAGAGGUGUCAGGCAGAAGGUGUGACUAAAGAGGUGUCAGGCAGAAGGUGUGACUAAAGAGAAGAGGUGUCAGGCAGAAGGUGUGACUAAAGAGAAGAGGUGUCAGGCAGAAGGUGUGACUAAAGAGAAGAGGUGUCAGGCAGAAGGUGUGACUAAAGAGAAGAGGUGUCAGGCAGAAGGUGUGACUAAAGAGAAGAGGUGUCAGGCAGAAGGUGUGACUAAAGAGAAGAGGUGUCAGGCAGAAGGUGUGACUAAAGAGAAGAGGUGUCAGGCAGAAGGUGUGACUAAAGAGAAGAGGUGUCAGGCAGAAGGUGUGACUAAAGAGAUGUCAGUGUAGACAGAAGGUGUGACUAAAGAGGUGUCAGGCAGAAGGUGUGGCUAAAGAGGUGUCAGGCAGAAGGUGUGACUAAAGAGAAGAGGUGUCAGGCAGAAGGUGUGACUAAAGAGGUGUCAGGCAGAAGGUGUGACUAAAGAGGCGUCAGUGUGGGCAGAAGGUGUGACUAAAGAGAAGAGGUGUCAGGCAGAAGGUGUGACUAAAGAGAAGAGGUGUCAGGCAGAAGGUGUGACUAAAGAGAAGAGGUGUCAGGCAGAAGGUGUGACUAAAGAGGUGUCAGGCAGAAGGUGUGACUAAAGAGAAGAGGUGUCAGGCAGAAGGUGUGACUAAAGAGGUGUUAAUUAAUAUUGUCCUGACCCCAGUCAUUAUCUGAGUAGGGUGAUACUGGUAUUGUCCUGACCCCAGCCAUUAUCUGAGUAGGGUGAUACUGGUAUUGUCCUGACCCCAGUCAUUAUCUGAGUAGGGUGAUACUGGUAUUGUCCUGACCCCAGUCAUUAUCUGAGUAGGGUGAUACUGGUAUUGUCCUGACCCCAGUCAUUAUCUGAGUAGGGUGAUACUGGUAUUGUCCUGACCCCAGUCAUUAUCUGAGUAGGGUGAUACUGGUAUCGUCCUGACCCCAGUCAUUAUCUGAGUAGGGUGAUACUGGUAUUGUCCUGACCCCAGUCAUUAUCUGAGUAGGGUGAUACUGGUAUUGUCCUGACCCCAGUCAUUAUCUGAGUAGGGUGAUACUGGUAUCGCCCCGACCCCAGUCAUUAUCUGAGUAGGGUGAUACUGGUAUCGCCCUGACCCCAGUCAUUAUCUGAGUAGGGUGAUACUGGUAUCGACCUGACCCCAGUCAUUGUCUGAGUAGGGUGAUACUGGUAUCGCCCUGACCCCAGUCAUUGUCUGAGUAGGGUGAUACUGGUAUCGCCCUGACCCCAGUCAUUGUCUGAGUAGGGUGAUACUGGUAUCGACCUGACCCCAGUCAUUAUCCGUUUAGACUUAACAUGAACUAACACUAUCUUC